rnacentral:lncRNA from 1 species
CAGUGCUGUGACACCAGGUUUUUGAGAAGAGCAAAGCUCAAUAUUGAAGGUUGCCUUCUGGGCUGGGUGUGGUGGCUCACACCUGUAAUCCCAGCACUUUGGGAUGCCCAGGUGGGAGGCAUGCUUGAGCCCAGGAGUUAAACAUUUUAAUUAGCCAGGCAUGGUGGCGUGCACCUGUAGUCCCAGCUCCUCAGGAGGCUGAGAUGAGAGGAUCACCUGAGCCUGGGGAGGUCGAGGUUGCAGUGAGCUGUGUUCACGUCACUGCACUCCAGCCUGGACUACAGAGUGAGACCCUAUCUCCAAAAGAAAAAAGAAAAAAAGAAAAAAAAAAAGAAAGAAAAGAAAAAAAGAAAAGUCAGCUCCCAAGGACACAGGAGUCCAGCUCAAAUGUCUCCAUGUGCUGGCUUGAAGACAGUAAUUGUAUUAGAAAAGGUGGAGAUGAGAGACUGAGAAAAGAAACAAGACGCAGAGACAAAGUAUAGAGAAAGAACAGUCAGCCCAGGGGACCGGCACACUCAGCAUGCAAGGACCUGCAUCGGCGCUGGUCUCUGAGUUCCCUCAGUAUUUAUGGAUCACUGUUUUUACUACCUUGGUGAGGGGAGUGUGGCAGGGCAACAGGGUGAUGGUGGGGAGAAGGUCAGAAGGGAAACGUGAGCAAAGGAAUCUGUAUCAUGAAUAAGUUUAAGGAAAAGUACUGUGCCUGGAUGUGCACGUAGGCUAGAUUUAUGUUUCACUUUACACAAACAUCUCAGUGUAGCAAAGAGGAACAGAGCAGUAUUGCUGCCAGCAUAUCUCGCCUCCAGCCACAGGCUGGUUUUCUCCUAUCUAAGAGUAGAACGAAUGGUCGGCUUUACACCAAGACAUUCUGUUCCGAAGGAUGAGCAGGAGAUAGAAAUCUUCCUCUUAUCUCAACUGCUGCAAAGAGGCCUCCCUCUUUAACUACUCCUCCUCAGCACAGACCCUUCAUGGGUAUCAGGCUGGGGGAUGUAAGGUCUUUCCUUUCCCACAAGGCCACAUCUCAGGCUGUCUCAGUGGGGGGAAACCUUGGACAGGCUUUCUUGGGCAGAGGUCCCUGCAGCUUUCCUCAGUGUAUUGUGUCCCUGGUUAAUAGAGAAUGGAGGAUGGCGGUGACUUUUACCAGGCAUGCUGCCUGCAAACGGAUGGUUAACAAGGCAUACCCUGCACAGCCCUAAAUCCAUUAAACCUUGAUUCAAUACAGCACAUGCUUCUGUGACACAGGGUUUCGGCUAAAGUUACAGAUUAACAGCAUCUCAAAGCAGAACAAUUUUUCUUCAUACAGAUCGAAAUGGAGUUUCUUAUGUCUUCCUUUUCUACAUAGACACAGUUACAAUCUGAUCUCUCUUUCUUUUCCCCACAGAAAUUCAUGACCCCAUCCUUUCCAAUAUGACUUUAUAAAAAAUAUUUAUCAUCCAAAAAUCUCUUCAGUUUUUUGCAUCUAAAGUACAAAACAAGCCUAGUAUAUAUUUGAAUUUUUGACCUACAGUCAUAUACCAAAUAAUGAAAUUUUGGUCAAUCAUAGACCAAAUGACAGACCAAUACAAUGGUAGUCUCUUAAGAAUCUAAUACUGUAUUUUGGCCGGGUGUGGUGGCUCAUGCCUAUAAUCCCAGCACUUUGGGAGGCUGAGGUGGGUGGAUCCCAAGGUCAGGAGAUUGAGACCAUCCUGGCUAAUAUGGUGAAACCCCAUCUCUACUAAAAAUACAAAAAUUAGCUGGGCGUGGUGGUGGGCACCUGUAGUCCCAGCUACUCGGGAGGCUGGGGCAGGAGAAUGGCGUGAUCCCGAGAGGCGGAGCUUGCAGUGAGACCAGAUUGCGCCGCUGCACUCCAGCCUGGGCGACAGAGCGAGACUCCAUCUCAAAAAAAAAAAAAAAAAAAAAAAUCUAAUAGUGUAUUUUCACUGUAGCUUUUCUGUGCUUAGACAUGUGUAGAUACACACAUACGUUGUGUUCCAACUGCCUGCAGUACUCAGGAACAUGCUGCACGGGUUUGCAGCCUCAGCAACAGGUAUAGCAUAUAGCCUAGGCAUAGACUGGGCUGUAAACCACGUAGGUUUGUGUGAGCACACGGUAUGACGUCUGCAGGAUGGUGAAAUUGCCUAAUGAUGCACUUCUCAGAACAUAUCCCUGUUAUUAAGUGACACAUACUGUAUUUUAAUAAGAAAUAAAGCACUUUUACCAGCCUCAAAUACUGAGAAAGAAUUCUUGCCUUGCCAAUUUCUCUUUUGUUGAUUAUUUUGUAGUCUUCCAUAUGAAUCUCUAAUUGUUUUGGGGACUUGGACCACAGGAAAUGUUGUCACAUUGGCCUGAGGUCCAGCAUGUUUGAAAAUCACAUGUAUUAUGCUUUGUUUUUACAUUGGUCUCUGAAACGCUGUUCAACAGACUCCUCGUCUAUUAAAACACUCAAGUAAAUUUCUGGUUCAGUUAACAGAAACUCAUGGUGACAAUUUGAUCGAUAGCGAAGCCAAUAUUAAAUAGAAAGCUUAUCUUGGGACCGACAUUCAAUCUAUACAAACAAAUCAAAGCUUCUCGUCUUGUC